ACAUCCUGCCCUGUCUGGCGCCCUGCCUGUGCAAACGGGUUGGUGGCGGGCCCGCCCGAAAGCGCAAGAGAGA
rnacentral:snoRNA from 1 species